rnacentral:rRNA from 1 species
CAUGUAGGGCGCGAGCGUUGUCCGGAUUUAUUGGGCGUAAAGAGCGUGUAGGCGGCCGUACAGGUCAGCUGUGAAAACUCGAGGCUCAACCUCGAGACGUCGGUUGAAACCGUACGGCUAGAGUCCGGAAGAGGAGAGUGGAAUUCCUGGUGUAGCGGUGAAAUGCGUAGAUAUCAGGAGGAACACCGGUGGUGUAGACGGCUUACUGGGCCGAUACUGACGCUGAGGAGCGAAAGCGUGGGGAGCGAACAGG